AACGCGAAGAACCUUACCUGGUCUUGACAUAGUAAGAACUUUCCAGAGAUGGAUUGGUGCCUUCGGGAACUUACAUACAGGUGCUGCAUGGCUGUCGUCAGCUCGUGUCGUGAGAUGUUGGGUUAAGUCCCGCAACGAGCGCAACCCUUUUCCUUAUUUGCCAGCGGGUUAAGCCGGGAACUUUAAGGAUACUGCCAGUGACAAACUGGAGGAAGGCGGGGACGACGUCAAGUCAUCAUGGCCCUUACGACCAGGGCUACACACGUGCUACAAUGGUCGGUACAAAGGGUUGCUACCUAGCGAUAGGAUGCUAAUCUCAAAAAGCCGAUCGUAGUCCGGAUUGGAGUCUGCAACUUGACUCCAUGAAGUCGGAAUCGCUAGUAAUCGGAGAUCAGCAUGCUCCGGUGAAUACGUUCCCGGGUCUUGUACACACCGA
rnacentral:rRNA from 1 species